AUUGAACGCUGGCGGCAGGCUUAACACAUGCAAGUCGAGCGGGGACUUCGGUCCUAGCGGCGAACGGGUGAGGAAUGCUUGGGAAUCUGCCCAGUAGCGGGGGAUAACGUUUCGAAAGGAACGCUAAUACCGCAUACGCCCUACGGGGGAAAGGGGGGGAUCUUCGGACCUCUCACUAUUGGAUGAGCCCAAGUCGGAUUAGCUAGUUGGUGGGGUAAAGGCCUACCAAGGCGACGAUCCGUAGCUGGUCUGAGAGGAUGAUCAGCCACACUGGAACUGUGACACGGUCCAGACUCCGACGGGAGGCAGCAGUGGGGAAUAUUGGACAAUGGGCGAAAGCCUGAUCCAGCCAUGCCGCGUGUGUGAAGAAGGCCUUCGUGUUGUAAAGCACUUUAAGCGAGGAGGAAUGGCUGAGGGUUAAUAACCUUCAGCAGUGACGUUACUCGCAGAAUAAGCACCGGCUAACUCUGUGCCAGCCGCCGCCGUAACAC
rnacentral:rRNA from 1 species